GACGAACGCUGGCGGCGUGCUUAACACAUGCAAGUCGAACGGAAAGGCCCUGCUUUUGUGGGGUGCUCGAGUGGCGAACGGGUGAGUAGCACGUGAGUAACCUGCCCUUGACUUUGGGAUAACUUCAGGAAACUGGGGCUAAUACCGGAUAGGAGCUCCUGCUGCAUGGUGGGGGUUGGAAAGUUUCGGCGGUUGGGGAUGGACUCGCGGCUUAUCAGCUUGUUGGUGGGGUAGUGGCUUACCAAGGCUUUGACGGGUAGCCGGCCUGAGAGGGUGACCGGCCACAUUGGGACUGAGAUACGGCCCAGACGCCUACGGGAGGCAGCAGUGGGGAAUAUUGCACAAUGGGCGGAAGCCUGAUGCAGCAACGCCGCGUGCGGGAGGACGGCCUUCGGGUUGUAAACCGCUUUCGCCUGUGACGAAGCGUGAGUGACGGUAAUGGGUAAAGAAGCACCGGCUAACUACGU
rnacentral:rRNA from 1 species